AAAGAGGGACAUUUAAGACAAACAGACAAGACAGGCUUUCGUGUACAAAAGCUUGUCUUGUCUGUUUGUCUUAAAUAUCCCUCUUU
rnacentral:pre_miRNA from 1 species